GCCAGGCACAGUGGCACACGCGUGUGGUCCCAGUUACUUGGGAAGCACGAGAAGAUCACCUCGUGCCGACUGGGUGUCUGCACUAAGUUUGGAAUCAUUAUGGUGACCUCCCAGGAGUGGGGAACCACUGGGUUGUCUAAGGUGGGGUGAACAUGCCCAGGUCAGAAAUGGAGCAGGUCAAAACUCCCAUGCUAAUCAAUAAUGGGAUUGUGCCUAUGAAUAGCCACUGCACUC
rnacentral:lncRNA from 10 species